UAAAUGAGGUCAGGAGGGUGAGGCUUUUGCGAGGGGAUUAGCGUCCUCAUAAGGAGAAACACCUGAGAACCUGCUGUUCUCCCUCCACGGGGUAGUGGGGCAGAGGCAGGAAAGAGAGAGCUCUCCUCUCCAGAGCCUGACCAGGCCGGUGCUGUCCAUCCUCUAGGACCUGCAGCCAGACCUCCAGAACUGUCUCAUGGGAGUACUUGCCAUUGGUAGAUUCUAACCUGGAACCUGGUGGUAAGAAAUCUCAGGAAAUGAGGUUCCCAGUCUUCUAGCCCCUGCAACACAGACUGGAGUAGGAAUGGAACCAGUGGACAGUCCAGCACAGGGGUGACUGGAAUGUAGGAAGGCUCAAAGAUAACUCUGGUGUAAAGGAGGAAGAGAGAGAGAGAGAAAAAAAGCACAAAGACACAAUGAAAUGAACCUCAGAAAUAGGCACUGGAGCAGUUAUUCACAUCCAGCUCCACAGGGUGCUCCCGUGGCCCUGCCAGGCCCACCCCGGGCUUUGUCCCACGUGUCCCUGGCCGAGGUCUCUCCUAAGUCGAGCCAGUCCAUUGGGAUCCACUAUCCGGAAUAUUUUGGAUUCUUUGUCCUCCCAUCGGAUGAAGUUUUCGUACCGGCUGUCAGAAAGCAACUGAUAGACGUAAUCCCAAAGCAGUCUACAGUCUACAGAGGAAAAGGGCAAGAAAACACCGUUGACAAGGCUGCUUGUAAGUAUGAAGAGCAAGAAUCAAGAAAAUAAUCGAGGAACCGCUUUUGCCUUCUUCGGAUUGAGUCCAAGCUCCUUGUUUUGGGAAUUCCUUGGCAGUCCAGUGGUUAGGACCCUGCGCUUUCCUUGAGGAGAGCCAGGGUUCAAUCCCGCAAGCCAAAACAAAAACAACAAAACUUUUACAGUGAGGAGACCAAGGCACAGAGAGACCUGGGAGAUGGUGACCUUUGACCUGGGCCUUCGAGACCAUCCUGGCCCAGACCCUCCCUCCCCGCAACCUCAGAUGAGGACGCAGCAACCCGGAAAGAGGAAAGGACUGGUCUAUGGUCAUGACCCAUGAUUUGAACUGGAGUAGAGCCCACAGGAGGGAAAGAACAAGCUCUAACAGGAAAUGAAUCGGUUUUGAAAAGGGGCUGAAGACAGGCUGGCAGGACCCGUGGUGUCCUUCUUAGAGAAUUUCUGGCGUUUGAACCCUACGCUUAUGAAAGCUGGCCAGCGAUCUGUUACCAACCCUGCCCGACGCUGUGCUCGUGGUUGCCAGAGGGGGAGCAGAGAGACAGCAAGGGGACCAGUCCCAGUAAGAGGAAGUACCUUGGGAGAUGGGCCAUUACCUAGAAGCAGAAAGCUGAUAAAUCCAGUGCAGCCAACCCUGUGCUGAUACGCAGAGGUGUGUUUACAGCAGGCAACUGCUUGUGCUCUGCUGUGGCGUAGGGAAACAGAAGCUGUAUGUGCACAGCAGCCAGCCGGGAGGGGGAGAAACCGAGGCAGAGAACACAAAUCUGUGCUUCCUGGCUUCACCGAAGCAGAGGGACCGCAGCUGCAAACGCCGCUAAACCUUCUCACCGUUGGUGGCAGGUGUGGAGCAACGCUGGGAAAGGCAGGAAUCUGCAAUCAUGCCUUAUAGCUGAGAUCAAGCCCCCGGACAGAUCCCACAUUCAUCUAAGCCCAGCCAAAAGCCAGCUCCC